UGCUAUGAUCGCACCUGACAAAUAUUACGCAAAAUAUUAGUAUAUGCGGUUGUAAGGCAAAUUGCUUGGGCGAGAGAAGUACUAGGAUGGGUGACCUACUGGGAAGUCCUCGUGUUGCACCUC
rfam:Cajanus cajan CcLG02_1055, whole genome shotgun sequence.